GGCGGAGCGGGAGGCGUGGAGACGGCGGCGAGAGCUAGAGCGGCAAGCUGGAAGUGACCACGUGACACACCUCUGGCCAGCGAGGGGAUGAGGCCGCUGGCGGGACGUCCAGGAGGGCUCUCGCUACGGGACAGGCAAAGCUGUGCCCCUUCCUUCUGCCCUCCCUCCUCCCUCCCGCCCGGAACACGGACGGCGCCAGGGAUGCACGGACCAGGAUGAAAGCUGCGUGCCGCAGGGGGCCAGGUGGACACCCAGAAGGAGCCCGUGUCCUCCAGCACUGGGGACUGCUACCCCUGGCCCGACGGCCCCCGUUCUGUUCUGGUCUGCGCCGCUCGCUGGGCCGCCGAGCCCCACCCUGACAGCCUGACAGCCAGUCCUGCCAGGAGCCGCCCGCUGUCCCGCCCGCUCCAGCCUCCGCCCAGGCACGCGCCCCCGCCAGGUCACCCGUUCCCACCGCUCCGGUCUGCUGCUGACACAGCACACGGUGCUCCCUUGCACCUCUCUCAGUGAAAGACCCGUGGAAAAGACUGAGAAAAAGGUAAAAGAAGUGACUAAGCAAGGUUUGUACUUAUUUAAUAAGAAAAUCGCUUCUUUAAAAAAAUAGUGUCUUUACAUGCUGAGUUGUGUGUACUCAACGCGUGAGCUGAAAAUAGACUCGCAGCAGGUUCUCCCUGUGACGGAAACUCAGUGAUGCAGGUCUCAGGAUCCUGAGCUGAGGAGGCCGGCGCGGGCCGUCCCGUCGGGGCGAGGCAGGCUGGCGGGUCCCGGCGUGCGUGUCGUGGGCCAGCUCAGUCACUGUCCCCGUCCCCGUCACUGCCUUCCAGGGGGUGGGGGACCUGCAGAGCGAGAGCAGACAGGAAACGGCUGUUGGGGAGCACGCUGCCCGGAGAGGGCUCCCCUGCUCGGGGGCUGCCCAGGGCAAGGCUCAGCCUCACCCCGGCUUCCUCUUCACUGAUUCAAGAACCUGUCUUGAACAGGCAAAGCCAAGGGCUGGGGACCAGAGGGGGUCUUCAUCGGGCUCCUCCAGCUCCCAGAGGCUUCAAUGACCUUGGGGACAUAAAACUGAUCUACUGCAAAGCUGGUCAAGUGCAAGCCCCUCAGCGCUAUAUAAAGACGGCAGACGGUCAGAGGCCUCUCUCUGUGGGAAUCAGGCAGAGAGCAAGCCUGGCCCCCAGGUGCCAUCUGUACACGUGCUCCGUUUGGCCUCACAGUGCUGGGAAAAUUAAUAACCACCAACAUUUAAAGAGUGGACUAUUUCACAUACAAGUCUGGAAUCCCAGUUUCUCCUGAGAAAAGGUAAGCUCCGACAACGCUCAGGCCCACCCUCCACUGGCUGGCGCUGAGCUGCAGGGGCCCUUCUGGUGGAACGAGAGCCCUGCCGUUUCUCAGUCUCCACCAAGUCCUGUCUCCUCCCCGACGCUGCUUGGAAUUCACCAUCCGACCCGCAACCCCUGCCUUUCUCACGCCUGGCCCACCUUGCUUGCCCCCCUUACCUGUACGCGCACGGGUUGGGGAGGAAGGACAGUGUUUUUCUAGAUAUCUAGAUAAUGGGAAGAAAUCUCCCAGAGCUCCAGGUGCCAAUCUCACCCUUUGACAGCCUGCUGGGACACCCUCCAGCACCUCCAAUCGUGGACGCUCUCCUUCUGACAUACGUAAGGUUGGCAGUUAACUCACAGACGAAUCACACUCUGAGCCAGGUCCCUGGUCGGUAUCGGACAGCAGGGCUCCAGGGGAGCGGAGCCCAAAGCACAGCCUGCGUCCCCUCCCAGACGGAGGAGGGCACCGCGGGCCUGGACGGGAACGCCGCCCAGAGGGCGAGGAGAACGACGCUUGGCCGCUCAGCGUCCCUGGCGCCUGUCAAGCUACCCCAUGUUCUGGAGCCAGGUACGUGCCAACUGCCCAGCAGCAUCAGCCAGAGGGGGACGUCCUACUGGCACCUCCAUCUCACACACGGGAAGACGGCCACCGAGCACGUCCCUCACCCAGCGUCACUGAGCGCAGAGCAGGGGAGCCGGCCACCAGGUCCUAUGCCCUGGCCCUGCUCCUCCCACUGUUGUGACCCCGGGGCAGCGACAGGCCUCUUGGUGCCUCAGCUUGCUCAUCUAUACAAUGGGUACAACGACAGGGGGCAGAGUGGGUUUAAGCUUAGCCACGGACAAUGACAGAUGAGGACAAGUGCUUGGCUGAGCUCCUGGAAGGGCCAGCGCCAGCCCCCGUGGUUCCCCUGACCCCCAGCCCCCGUGGCCCCAGCCCCACCUUGGUGCCCGGGCCAGCGGCCGCAUGGGCAGUGGCGCUGAAGUCAUGCACGGGCAGGGUGCUCAGCCACUGGGCCAUGGACCUCUCGUGGCGCUCGGUGCUGAUGAUCGUGGGGUAGAUGUGCUGCUCCUUGAAGGCCGUGACCUCAGCCUCCUCCCGUGCCCAGUCCAGCGGCUCGUGCAGCCCGUCGUGGCCGAAGCGCUGGUUGUACUUCUCGAAGUGCACCCGCUCCAGGACCAGGCCGAGCCCUGGCGCCUUGGGCACGUCCACCUUGGCCUCCCCCCAACAGCGCUCCAGCACGCUCUCGGGCGCGUAGCCCUUGACGAUGGCCACCACCAGCCCCACCAUCUUCCUGAUCUGGUGCGUCAUGAAGCUCUGGCCCUUGACCUUGAUCACCGCAAACUCCAUGCCUUCGCGCACGAAGGGCUCCUCGCAGAACAUGUCGAGGAUGUAGCGCUGGGCGCUGGGCUCGCGGGGCCCCUUCUGCGAGGUGAAGUUGUGGAAGUUGUGGGUGCCCCUGUAGCAGGCCAGGAGCCGGUUCACACGCCCCAGCGUCUCCGCGUGCAGCCGGUACGUCUCGUCCUGCGCGUCGCGGUCCUUGUGGGCGAAGGCGAACGUGGGCAGCAUGUAGAAGUAGGUCCUGGCGUCGCACUUGUUCUUGGAGUUGAAGCCGCCCGUGACCCUCUUCAGUCCUGGGGGCAGAGGAGGCCAUGAGGACCAACGACACCCUGAGCAGGUCUGAGUGCCGGCACGUCACCUGCCGAACCCGGACGAGCCCGAGGGGGCCCCGGCUCCGUGCGCUAAACCCUCAGCCAAACCCUGUCCAACCAACCCCGGGGUCGGCCGAGGUGCGGGACAUCCUGCUCUCGCCUCACGGAUCCCGGGGGACCCACGCGGACUAAAGCACCAGCCGGUGACCCCGACCCAGAAGCCUUGGAUCAGAAGCCAUCCUGCAGGUGAGGCCAGGGACAGCAGUGUGUUCAAACAGCAAAAGAACUGGAAACAACUUAAAAAGUCCAGCAACAGGGAAACGAUCAACGGCUCUUAGACAUUUGCAGAAUGAACCGAAAGCAGCCCUGCAGAGCAGGCGCCCGUCCCCAGGACCGGGGGCCGCACCGCUGGGCGCUCACUGUGCCUGGCCAGGCCUCCCAACAGACUUCUUAACCGUUAAAUGAAAAAAUAAAAGCAAAACGAAGAGCUACGUGUGUAUUUCUCUUUGGAGAGAAACACAAACAUACGGAUUAUGUCUGUAUUUGCAUAGAAUAUUUCUGAAAGAAUCACAACUGUCAGGGGGGGCGGUUUCUGGGAACUGGGGACCACGAAGCGCCUUGCGGCCCUGGGGGCCCCGUGCUCCGCGGCUGUCCUCACGCUAAAGUCAAGACGGGGUCGCGAGGACUCAGCCUCACAAGGAGGCUGACUUAAAGGCCAACUUUGGCUUCAUGUUACAAGGACUGAUUCGGACACUGCGCGGGGGCUGCCCGUUCAAGGCUGCAUCCGCACCGCCCUUCCCGUCUUCCGUCUCUGCUGUCGCGUUUGAUUUGGGGUAAUCUUAUUUUUGUGUUUUGUCUUGCUUUAAGAAUCCAAUUUCAUCGACACAGAGCGUCACAGGUAUGCUUUGUGCACCUAAUUUCUGUCGUGCGGAACAUAACUGCCAAGAAAAGGCUGAAAGGGGCCGGCAGCCGACCACAUGGCUGGGCUGUUAAUGAGGGAAACACAGCCUUGCUGUGUUGUGUUAUGUAAGCAGUGCUAACGGCUGCGAACUGUGUAGGCUUUGGUGUUAUUUUAGCAGAAGUGGGGAACAACCUGUGCGUACAUGAGGACAUCCCCGUGGAAUGAAUGUCAAGAGGCCUUACACGGGACUUUCAGAGGAUUGGCUCCCGGAGAAGGUCUUCAGGAGGGAAUUAUCCUCACCAGGCAGAGAAAGACCACAGGGUAAUAAAAAUAAAACCGCGUUAUGCCAAUAAUAAAUGCAGAGCCUUCCCUGGCGGUGCAGCGGUUAGGACUCCGUGCUGCCACUGCAGGGGGCGCGGCUUCCAUCCCUGGUCGGGGAAUGAGACCCCACAUGCCGUGCAGUGCAGCAAAUAAAUAAAUAAAUAAACAUUUAAAAAAUAAAUUUAAUAGUGGGCAAAGUAACCAAAAAUAACGGUUGUGACUUUGUGUUGAGAUCCCUAUUUAUACUUGGACCAGACGUUCAUGGCAGUUUCUUUUUGUAACAGCCCCACACUGGAAACACCCGCAGCGUUCCCCACCAGGCAAGUGGAUAAACAACUGGAAACCACGCAGCAAUGGAAAGGAACAAACCGGAUACACCCGACAGCGUGCGGGAAUCUUUAACCAGGCUCCGUGAAAGAAGCCAUUCCAUACGACCCUAUUUACAUAAAACUCUAGAAAUACGAAGCAAUCUAUAGUGAAAGAGAGCAGAUCAGUGGUGGCCUGGUGAGAAAUGGGGUGGGAGGGACGUGGGGA